UUGGUGUAAAACUUAAAUUUGAUAUUUCUAGACAUGGUAAAACUUUAAAAACAUUUUAACCCUUUUUAAGUUAUUUAUAGAAAUUUUAGAUUCUAAGUGGAGCGAAGAGUCUUAUGGUUUUACAAAGAUGUUUACUUUUUUUCUCUGUGGACAACUUUCUUACCAGAAAGAGGACUUGCUCUGAUUUUUACGUGUAGCAUCUUUUUUGAAAGGAAAUCGGUGUAGGGAGAUAAAUUAGGGAGGUAAUUUUCG